GACGAACGCUGGCGGCGUGCUUAACACAUGCAAGUCGAACGAAGUGGCGAACGGGUGAGUAACGCGUAAUCAACCUGCCCUUCAGAGGGGGACAACAGUUGGAAACGACUGCUAAUACCGCAUACUGAAGGAGGGGAUUGCGUCGGAUUAGCUAGUUGGAGGGGUAACGGCCCAACAAGGCGAUGAUCAGUAGGCGGUCGGAAGGGAUGAACGGCCACAUUGGGACUGAGACACGGCCCAGACCCCUACGGGGGGCAGCAGUGGGGAAUCUUCCGCAAUGGACGGAAGUCUGACGGAGCCACGGCGCGUGAGUGAUGACGGCCUUCGGGUUGUAAAGCUCUGUUAAGCGGGACGCGGUACCGGAAUAGAAAGCCACGGCUAACUACGUGCCAGCAGCCGCGGUAAUUC
rnacentral:rRNA from 1 species